AAGACGCUCCAUCUCAGCACUUUUCCGAGUGUGUUGCAUAUCUCUGAGCCUGCCUGCACGUGUGUGUGUGUGUGGCUGAAUUAUUGAUGAGUACGGAUGCUCGGAAUGUCCUGCCAAGGCCGUCCUGCGAGAGUGUGAAAGGCAGCGAGCGCUCUCUGUGUCUGUGUCUCGGCAGAGAUGGGUGAAAGGAGUGCAGUGCAGCAACCUGCUUACGACGGCUUGUGCAACUACGCCCAAAAAAUCACAUCGUGCUUCGGACUUGAUGUGAGCCACACGCAUGACGCUCAGCACCGCAAAGAGAAGCCUUCCAUCCAGUGCUACAAGUGUGGCGAGCCAUGCAAGGGCGAGGUGUUACGAGUGCAGAACAAGCACUUCCACAUCAAAUGCUUUACCUGCAAAGUGUGUGGUUGCGACCUGGCACAGGGUGGAUUCUUCAUGAAAAAUGGAGAUUAUCUGUGCACACUGGACUACCAGCAGAUCCACGGCACUCGCUGUAACACGUGCGGCGAGUUUGUGGAGGGCGAGGUAGUGACUGCACUGGGGAAAACCUACCACCCUGCCUGCUUCGUCUGCACCGUCUGCAAAAGGCCAUUUCCUGCCGGAGACAGAGUGACGUUUAAUGGAAAGGACUGUCUGUGUCAGUACUGUGCUGAGCCCAUGUCCCCGGGCCCUUCCAAGGACAUCACUGGACCCGGCACUUGUGCAGGUUGUGGCAGAGACAUAAAGAACGGACAGGCUUUGCUGGCUUUGGACAGACAGUGGCAUUUGGGCUGCUUCAAAUGUAAAGCCUGUGGCAAAGUACUGACAGGGGAGUACAUCAGCAAAGAUGGCGCUCCAUACUGUGAGAAAGAUUAUCAGAUUCAUUUCGGGGUCCGGUGCGAAGCCUGCCAUCAGUUCAUCACCGGCAAAGUGCUGGAGGCAGGUGACAGACACUACCAUCCUAGCUGUGCACGCUGUAGCAGAUGCAACCAGAUGUUCACUGAAGGAGAGGAGAUGUACCUGCAAGGAUCAACUGUUUGGCAUCCGGGCUGCAAGAGCUCUAGAACAGAGGAUAGACAAAGGCCGACGCGCUCGUCAUCAGAGAGUGUGUGUUCCAGACCUGGUUCAAGCAUACCUGGCUCACCGGGUCACACCCUAUAUGCAAAAGUAGACAAUGAGAUCCUUGAUUAUCGAGAUCUCGCCGCCAUUCCCAAAGUCAAAGCCAUUUAUGACAUCGAACGUCCCGACCUGAUCAACUAUGAGCCACUUUACACCACUUCCCUCGACGAGUUAGAGGAGAGAGAGAGCGUGGGAGAGCUUCAGACCUUGAGGCGUGAACGCACCCCUAUGCCAGAUGAUCGAACACCAAGGACUAUGUCGCCAGUGCCAUCUGCAGAUAGUUUUUACGACAUAAGGGGCCACAUGCUGCAGCGGUCAACAAGUCAGGGCUCUAUCGGCUCACCCGUCUAUAACCGCCACUGUUACACACCAACCAUGUCUCGCUCACCGCAGCACUUUCACCGGCCAGGCCCUGAGCCAUCAAGUGGGCGGAGCUCCCCUGGGGCCAGCACGCCCCCUCUCCCCCUGACCCCGAAACAUUUCCAUCUGCCAGAUCAGAGCGUCAACAUGUACAGAAAGCCACCCAUCUACAAACAGUAUGGCUCUGAUGGGGGGAGACGGAGAUCCCGAGAUGAGGAUGAGGAGGAACUGCAGAAACGCAGACAACUCCAGGAAGAGCAUCUCACCAGGAUGCAGUCUGGUCUUGGGAAGCUCAUCCUAAAGGAAGAGAAGGAAAAACAGCUGUUUGAAGAACGUCAUGCACGAAGUCUGUCCGCACAAAGACAAACAAAUGGCAACGCAGAUCCACAGUCUCCUGCCAAAACAGGCUCUCUUCCUGGCUAUGGUCGGAGCGGGCUGCAUCGGCCUCAGUCAACAGACUUUACGCAGUUCAACAGUUACGGAGAUGUCUGUGGUGGAGGACGAGAAUUUCAGGUAAGUGUGAUGUUCACUUCAUGUUUUUUUUUACUAAAAGUUGAAAGCAGCUGAAACAAUUUGGCUUUGUGUCAUAAAUGCAUUACUUGCUACAGACUCUACAUGCUGCAAUUUUUUUUAUUCUAACUAUACCAUGGUUUGAUGGACUUUCUCUUACAACUUUGUAAAGGAAUGCAUUUUGACAUGUAUAGCUGUCAUAAUUCAUUAAUUUUCUGGACGUUAUUGAAGUUGUGCUACAUAAAUUUGUUAGAAUUCUCUAACCUUGUUUUUUUUUCAUAAUUAAUGAUUCUGCUGGUUUUAUUAUUAUUAUUAUUAUUAUUAUUAUUAUUAUAACUUUUCACUUGAUGUCAUUAUUUGUUUCCGUUGAAUAGAACAAUGUAGCUCAUUAUACUGCCUUUAAUCGUAACAUGACAAGAUAAUUUUAGAUCUUUUUUGGAGUAUUGUGAUCCAACAUGCCAAAUUGGUUUGAUCAACACCAUUUGAGAAUCCAUUUGGGCAUCCUGCAGAUGCAAGUUAAUAUGUAUGAAUUAAUUUUUUUUUUUUGCUUGGCAAUGCGCAGUGUCUGAUCUCAGUUCAGUAAGGAAGGACGUAAAAAGGAAGUACUAAAAUGUAAUUUUAGUCAUUGUUUUACUUUUGCUUUAUCUGUUUGUCUAUUUGUCUAUUUUUAUAAUUUUGGUUCAUUUGUUUUAUUUGCACAUCAUUUAAAAAACUGUUCUCGCCAGAUCUGUCCCUAAAAUGAACUCUGACAAAAACAUUUUCGAAGUCUCUUUUUUCGUGUUUUAUUGACUUGCAUCAACAAUAAAUUUAGUUGUGUUUUUAACAAGCAGUUGAUUUAUGUGUUUAUAGCCCAUACAGGAUGGACAUCGGCCUGUCAGCAGAAUGGACAGGGGGGUUUCGAUGCCUAAUAUGCUGGAAUUAAAAGCAAGUAUCAACAGUGUUUCCCAAACUUUUUUUCCCUAGGUACCCACUUUAAAAAAAAUAACAAAUCAUUGUUACCAGAUUUAUGAGAAUAGUUAAUAUGUGCAUAAAUGAGGAUUACUAAUCAUUGAAUUGCCAUUUACACAUCACAUAAUUACCUUGAAUGGUAAACCAGUCAUUUCUGACAUAGACUACAUAUGAUAAAUAACAAUGUCAUAUGCAUGUACAGUAUUAUUGAAAACGGUAAAACUAAAGUGGUAGCAAACUAUCUAGCCCCCCCGUGUGAUUGCCAUGCGUACUACAGACAGACAUGGUGACAAUAGAGACCCAAAUAAAAUGACUUUGGGUCACGACACUUUGUUUGGGAACCAAUGCACCAAAGUACUCUAUUUGGUAGCCAGCCAGUAGUCUGCUAUCUAAAUGUAAUACUUAUGUCUACUGGGCCUUAAAGAAACCCUAAUGAAUAAUUACAUAACUCUAAACCUAACCCCAAACCUCCUUAUAAUCUCUUACAAUAAAUGAUGCUUAACUUGCCAUUAUUAGUGCUAAAAUGGCAGGCCAGUGUCUAGCACAGUUAUUUUUUUUCUGUUCAAACAUGGUUGCUAAUUCAACUCUCGGUUAAGGUUUCUGUUGCCAGGUUUUGUUUUGUGUGGGGUUUUUUUUUUGUUGUUGUUGAAUUGCAAAUUGUGCUGGACACUGGCUCUCUGGAACUAGCUUUGAACAAGCUAGUUGAUUUAGAGGGCUAAAAGAGAAGGGUCAGAAAAACACCUGGGGCCAGGUUGCCAACUCUCAGAGGUUGAGGGGCUGGGGCUAGGUAAACAUCCUCAGAGGACUAAUUGGAGUUCCCAAAUUGCCUGUAGUGUGUGAAUGAGCAUGUGAGUGUUUGAAGCCCUGCGAUGGAUUAGCUCCCCCUGUGUAUGCCCUGCAAUGGAUAAGCACCCCAUCCAUGGUGUACCCUUCCUCUUGCCCUAAGUCUUCUGGGAUAGGCUCCCCAUGACCCUGUAUACAGGAUAAAGCAGUAUAGUCGAUGAGAGAGUAAGUAUACUGUACUAUAUUUGCCAUGUACAUAUUUGACAUAACCAUGAUUCAGAAUUGAGCAUAAUUAUUUGUUUUAGUUUAUUAGUCAUUUGCAUAAAAAAACCCAUGAACUUCUUACUGCUAACUAACGGGUAUCUCUUUUGAAGGUAUAUCCAUACGAAAUGCUCAUCGUCACCAGCCGUGGCAGAGCCAGACUGCCCAGAGAUGUGGACAGAACCCGUCUGGAGCGGCACCUUGCUCCAGAGAUUUUCUUUGAACUCUUCGGGAUGGAGAUUCAGGAGUUCGAUAAACUUCCUCUAUGGAAGCGCAACGACAUGAAGAAGAGAGCCAGACUCUUUUAAUCAUAAAAACACACCGUACACAUCUGUAAUGUACCCAUAUAUUUGCUUUUAGUGUGUCUUUCUUUCUCUCGUGGCCCUCGGUCAUGCAUAUGGAAAAGAAAUCUGAAGUGGUUUCAUUGGUUUAUUGUUUAGCACAAUAUUAUACCGUUAUACCAUCAUUUAAAAUGCAAAUUGACAAACAAUUAAAUUAGCACAUAAACAUCAGACUUUCAGAAUGUUAUGUUUUUUGGGCUUGUUUUCCUUCCUAAUGGAGUUUUUCUUUUUAUGCUCACUUCUCCUUAGGUAUCAUCCACUCAUGGAAUAAGAUGUUUUGUUCAGUUUACUAUGAGUUCAUUGCUAAAUGAAUGUAAAUGUAACAAGCUUUCACAUGCUGUAUGCCUGUGUGUUGGUAUGUCUUUAUGUCAGACAUUAUAAGCACUAGUAAGUUCCUCAAUUUUCCAUGUUUCAUUUAUUCAUAUUUCAGUAAGUCCUCAUCGUUUAAUUAUCAAAGCAAUGCUGAACUUUACUAAAACACUUUAGAGCGUUUAAUCGUAUGGAAACCCCGCACUGCCAUUUGUUCUUUGUAUGAAUGAUAUUACAAGUAAAACGAUUAAUAAACUAUGCGAUAGACAGCAACACCAAAGGUAUGGCCUUGCCCUAGAGAGCAAAUAUAGCACUGGGUAAUUCUCAGGAUCCUUAUCACCGAAGGCUUAAUAGGACCAAACAUUUAUUGCUCGUGUAAAUUACAGUAUCAGACUCCGACGUCAGAGCAGUUUUUGUUGUAACUUUGUCUGGGUGGUGCAGUAGGUCAAGGAAUGGCAUGGCUUCUUCCUCUGUCUUUGUCCUCACACUCAAAACCAUACACACAGUAACAAAUUCUUUCAGCUUUCUUUCUCUUGGUUGGAACUAAUUUCCCUGGUUAUCUCAAAUGCUUGCAAAACACACAGAGUUUGACAAGCGACAAAUAUAAACUCUUCAUGAAUGAAAUACUUUCUUGAUGUAAAACAGAUGCUUCUCGUUAAUAAAAAUGCAGCAAAUCAAAUGACAUAUUUAUACUUUUGCUUCUGCCUUUGCAACACCACAUAAUUAUAAACAUAGUAACACCCUGUGUCACAUUUAGAAGGUUAUGCAAAAAAAUUAAU